AGAGUUUGAUCCUGGCUCAGGACGAACGCUGGCGGUGUGCUUCACACAUGCAAGUCGAGCGAAUGAAGUAGGUAGCUUGCUACUUAUGGAUUUAGCGGCGGACGGGUGAGUAAUAUAUAGGAAUCUGCCUUAGAGCGGGGAACAACAGACCGAAAGGUUUGCUAAUGCCCCAUAGGUAUGCAGUCUUCGGAUUGUAUAUUAAAGGAGUAAUCCACUCUAAGAUGAGCCUGUAUCCGAUUAGCUAGUUGGCGGGGUAAAGGCCCACCAAGGCUACGAUCGGUAGUUGGUCUGAGAGGAUGAUCAGCCACAAUGGGACUGAGACACGGCCCAUACUCCUACGGGAGGCAGCAGUGGGGAAUUUUACACAAUGGGGGAAACCCUGAUGUAGCGACACCGCGUGAACGAAGAAGCCUUUUGGGGUGUAAAGUUCUGUCGGCUGGAACGAAAAAAAUGACGGUACCAGCAAAGGAAGCAUCGGCUAACUACGUGCCAGCAGCCGCGGUAAGACGUAGGAUGCAAGCGUUGUCCGGAUUUAUUGGGCGUAAAGAGUUCGUAGGCGGUUAUUUAAGUCUGAUGUUAAAUACUGUGGCCCAACCACAGAACUGCAUUGGAUACUGGAUGACUUGAGUGCGGUAGAGGCAAGUGGGAUUCCCAGUGUAGCGGUGAAAUGCGUAGA
rnacentral:rRNA from 1 species